UACAGAGGGGGCAAGCGUUGUUCGGAAUUACUGGGCGUAAAGGGCGCGUAGGCGGCCUUCUAAGUCGAACGUGAAAUCCCCGGGCUCAACCCGGGAACUGCGUCCGAUACUGGAAGGCUUGAAUCCGGGAGAGGGAUGCGGAAUUCCCGGUGUAGUGGUGAAAUGCGUAGAGAUCGGGAGGAACACCUGUGGCGAAGGCGGCCAGCUGGGCCGACCCUGACGCUGAGGCGCGAAGGCGUGGGGAGCGAACGGG
rnacentral:rRNA from 1 species